rnacentral:rRNA from 1 species
AAAGAUUUAUCGCCUUGGGAUAAGCCCGCGUCAGAUUAGGUAGUUGGUGGGGUAACGGCCUACCAAGCCUGCGAUCUGUAGCUGGUCUGAGAGGACGAUCAGCCACAUUGGGACUGAGACACGGCCCAAACUCCUACGGGAGGCAGCAGUGGGGAAUCUUGCGCAAUGGGCGAAAGCCUGACGCAGCCAUGCCGCGUGAAUGAUGAAGGUCUUAGGAUUGUAAAGUUCUUUAGCCUGUGACGAUGAUGACGGUAACAGGAGAAUAAGCCCCGGCUAACUUCGUGCCAGCAGCCGCGGUAAUACGAAGGGGGCUAGCGUUGUUCGGAAUUACUGGGCGUAAAGCGCGCGUAGGCGGUUUUACAAGCCAGAGGUGAAAUGCCUGAGCUUAACUUGGGAAUUGCCUUUGGAACUGUAUGACUUCUAGGACGAAAGAGGUGAGUGGAAUUCCCAGUGUAGAGGUGAAAUUCGUAA